GAUGAACGCUAGCUACAGGCUUAACACAUGCAAGUCGAGGGGCAGCAUGAACUUAGCUUGCUAAGUUUGAUGGCGACCGGCGCACGGGUGAGUAACACGUAUCCAACCUGCCGAUGACUCGGGGAUAGCCUUUCGAAAGAAAGAUUAAUACCCGAUGGCAUAGUUCUUCCGCAUGGUAGAACUAUUAAAGAAUUUCGGUCAUCGAUGGGGAUGCGUUCCAUUAGGUUGUUGGCGGGGUAACGGCCCACCAAGCCUUCGAUGGAUAGGGGUUCUGAGAGGAAGGUCCCCCCACAUUGGAACUGAGACACGGUCCAAAACUCCUACGGGAGCAGCAGUGAGGAAUAUUGGUCAAUGGACGAGAGUCUGAACCAGCCAAGUAGCGUGAAGGAUGACUGCCCUAUGGGUUGUAAACUUCUUUUAUAAAGGAUAAAGUCGGGUAUGUAUACCCGUUUGCAUGUACUUUAUGAAUAAGGAUCGGCUAACUCCGUGCCAGCAGCCGCGGU
rnacentral:rRNA from 1 species